GUUGAUUUGUGUUGUGAUACUACUACUAAUGCUGGUAUUAUGCUGGUUCUCACUCCUGCUGAUGUUACUGAUGUGCUGUGCUGUGUUACUUCUGGUGCUCGCUUCUAAGUGAUUAGAGCCAUCUUGGAGGAGAUGACGUAUCAUCCUCCUCCUAUAAUCGACCUCUAGGCUUAAUUUUCGAUCCACAGUAUGAGAAUCAAAAAAUUGAGUCUUCUAUGCUACAAUGUAUAGGAGGCUCAAUUGUCGAUUCACAUACUGUGGAUCUUCGACAAUACGAGGUGUAUUGCCGAGAUAAAAUUGAUAUGCCGCUACCACCUUUUGCAGUUUCUUCUCUUCCUAAAUUAAUAAAUUUAGGGAGAGUGAAGUAAAAGUUACUUCAAGAACAGCAGUUGGUAGAGAAAGAGAAAAAUAUAUGCUACAAUUUCCUCUGCACGUUGCGUUUAAGCAGCAUGUUGAAGAAGUUGGAGUGGUCCGA